rnacentral:lncRNA from 1 species
CUGCUUUCUCUGCCAAACAUCUAUUCAGAUUUUCUCAACUGUCACAGGAGUUCAUUUUCAUUCUUUGUUCUUUUUUUUUGUUUUAAAUAGCAUCUUGCUAUUUUUUUCCCAUGACUGCAAGCUUUGCUCUUAUCUCGCUGAACAUCUUAAUUAUAUUUCCUCUGAAGUUUGCUUCUGCAGUUUUUGUUCCAUAAAUACCCCCCCAGGCUCGGGCAUCUUUGGAUGGGCGUUGAUGUCGGGAGGCGGGCGCUUCAUGGCUCGGGCGGGCACCCAGUGGCAUCUCUGGGGGGCCCUCCGAGCGCACCUCCACAGGCCUCCUCCUUGGGCGGCCAGCAUCCUUGCAGCCGGGCCUCCUCCUCACUCUGUGCAUGAGCCUCUGGUACCGAGGGCCGGGCCUCUCCGUCCUCAGUGUGCAGGCUCCAGAGACGGCCCCUUCGGCCAAGCUGGCCCUGCCCUCAGCAGCUCCAGGCGUCUCUGUCCAGAAAGCCAGGCCCCCCUCCCCAAGCUGGUGCUGAGGUUCCGGGCGUCGGGGUGAACAUCCGACUGGGAAAUGGUCCUGCCUGCGCCGACUGGGAAAUGGUCCUGCCUGCGGGACGCGCCUGUUUCUUUCGUCUCCUGGAUUCCGUUUUUCCACGAGAGGCUGUCCAGAGACCCUCUCACUGCGGGAAGGAAGCCAGGGUUGCCCAGGCUGCCUGAGAGCAUCUUGCGAGUGCCACACUCUUAGAUUUUAUUUUAAAAAGCCACUGCCACCUUUGUCCUGCUGUUCCUUCGAGACCAACCUGCGCUAGUUGGUGAGUUGUUUAUCAUCUGCAGCCUCGUGCUGGCCCAGUGCCGUGCAGUUUACAGGUCCCUGUGACCUGGUCCUUGAUGAACUCUCAUGCAUCUGACCCCAGGGUGACUUCCGAGGGAGCCUUGGUGCUGAGACUGUGCUGGGGGCCGGAGGACACCUGCCUUCCGGCUGUCACAGGGCUGCUUCACUCCUGCGCCUUUGAUGGGCUGGAUGCUUGGGUCACGGUGACUCCUGUUGCUUGAGGUGGCUGGGAAACGGGUCACUUUGGGGAAUGCACAGCCUGGAAGUUGCAGCAUUUGCCACGUGUGGAGCAUGGGUCUCCAGAGUUACAGUGCGUAUAAAUAACAAGUGUGUUACCGAGUCAGUUGUUUGAAAUUCAGAAGGUAUUUUCUGCAGAGAUGAUGUCACCUGUGGUGCUGCCAGCUCAAGAAGCCCUUUAGUGGCAGAAAACAACACUGCUAAACUAUCAGGAAUGAGGAGUUCCUGUCGUGGCUCAGUGGUUAACGAAUCUGACUAGGAACCAUGAGGUUGCGGGUUCGAUCCCUGGCCUCGCUCAGUGGGUUGAGGAUCCGGCGUUGCCGUGAGCUGUGGUGUAGGUUGCAGACGUGGCUCGGAUCCUGCGUUGCUGUGGCUGCGGUGUAGGCCGGUGGCUACACCUCCAAUUGGACCCCUCGCCUGGGAACCUCCAUGUGCUGUGGGAAGCGGCCCUACAAAAGGCAAAAACAAACAAACAAACAAAAAACCA